rnacentral:rRNA from 1 species
UACGGAGGAUGCGAGCGUUAUCCGGAUUUAUUGGGUUUAAAGGGUGCGUAGGCGGGAUGCCAAGUCAGCGGUAAAAAUGCGGUGCUCAACGCCAUCGAGCCGUUGAAACUGGCGUUCUUGAGUGGGCGAGAAGUAUGCGGAAUGCGUGGUGUAGCGGUGAAAUGCAUAGAUAUCACGCAGAACUCCGAUUGCGAAGGCAGCAUACCGGCGCCCUACUGACGCUGAGGCACGAAAGCGUGGGUAUCGAACAGG